AGCCUCACUGUUGCAGCACAAGAAAAAGUAAGGGGUCUGACCUCAAGAUGCUGCUACAUUGAGAAAACAGGUUAAAACCCCUGGUUAAGAAGAAAAGAGAUUGAGGGGGGAAGGAUCACAUUAUCCUCUUCCUCCAUCUAAAGAUUUUUCAGCUUUCUUAAGGAGUGUAAGCAUACUUGGUGAAAUAGGAAAGGAAAACUUCUUUUCUCUGCUUCUCAUUGACACUGAGAGAUCAGAGACUGGCUUUGAUCCCCAAAGUCAUUGCAUUCCCCACUCUGUUCUCAGGACUAUGGAUGCCAGAAGAGGCAGAGACUGAAAGCCACCAUCCUUUCCUCCUCUCCCCCCUUCUGAUUGCUGUGGACAUGUGUGGAGCACAGAAUCUCCCUCCUCCUCAAAUGACUACCUAAGGGUCAAAAUCUGAGCUUCUCAAAGCUUAUUUGUAAGUAUUUACUUAUUUGUAAGUACCAGCAUUUCCACUGUCUUGCACAUCCUGACCAAUUUCAAAGUGCAGAAUCCAACUUACAAAACAAAACAACAGUCCUCCCCAUCACCUCAUUAAUUUGUUUGUUUUUUUUAAAGUUAAAAGCAUCUCUUUUAGGUGAAGUUUUCCAAUUAUUGUUUGCUACUUUCACAUUAAAAAAAAAAAACAACAACAAACCCUUCCAAACAUUUUAUAGAAUAAAACACAACUUAUCUGAACAACUCCAAAAAGUGACAAUGAAUGUUUCCUGGUUAAAGUUAGGAUUAGACUCAAAAUCUUACUUUGAGUCACUGGUAUGUUUCAUAUAUGGUUUCUCAUUUGUAAGGCAUGAGCUGUACUUAACCUAUAGUACCAAGUCAUUUACUACAGGUCCUUCUGAACAGGACUUUUCUAUUUAAAUAUUCUUUGCAGGCUGCUCUCUGAAGUGCCCUGGAUCUCAUUAGAAGUGUGGUAUUUUCCUCUUUCUCUAAAAUUAAAUUUGGUUUCCAAUUAAAAUCUGGCCCCUCUGACAGACACUUUGUUUCACUUUCACGUCCAGAUUUCUUACCAUGUUGACCCUACUAAAUGCCUCCAGUGACUUGUAAAAAUAAUAAGGAUUAUGUACAGCUGCACAGAUCAAAAAUUUCCCCAGCGUUCAAUUGCUAUCAUGAGCCUUUUAUCAAUCUGCUCUAGAGCAAAGAGGGAAACAAUUUUCCCACCCCA
rnacentral:lncRNA from 1 species